rnacentral:rRNA from 1 species
UACGUAGGGUGCAAGCGUUGUCCGGAAUUAUUGGGCGUAAAGAGCUCGUAGGCGGUUUGUCGCGUCUGCUGUGAAAACUCGGGGCUUAACUCCGGGCCUGCAGUGGGUACGGGCAGACUAGAGUGCGGUAGGGGAGACUGGAAUUCCUGGUGUAGCGGUGAAAUGCGCAGAUAUCAGGAGGAACACCCGGUGGCGAAGGCGGGUCUCUGGGCCGAUACUGACGUGAGGAGCGAAAGCGUGGGGAGCGAACGG